GCAUUUUAAAGCCUUGAGGGGAAGCUCGAAAGGGAAAGCCCAAAGAGAACAAUAUGUGCUAGCGGUGGAUCUGGGUAGUUACAUCAGCCCUUCCGAAGACGUUUCUGUUCUUAUUUUUGCAAUCUGAGGACGUAAUUAACCGUUGGAAUUAGCUUGUUGCGAGUGACUUCGACCAAGGCCAUCGAGGUAAGUGACCUUACUGUUAAAGUUAGCUUAUUAUGUGUUGUAUGAUGGUGAGUGCCCUGCGACCCCUGCAUGUACCAUACUUUAUGUGAUAUGACUAUGUGGUGUAUGAAUUAUGUUGACUAUUGACUGUUUAUGUUAUGAGAAGUUAUGGUUGAUCUGCUA